CCUACGGGUGGCAGCAGUGAGGAAUAUUGGUCAAUGGGCGGGAGCCUGAACCAGCGAAGUCGCGUGAAGGAAGAAGGUACUUAGUAUUUUAAACUUCUUUUGUCGGGGAACAAAGGCGGAGACGCGUCUCCGAGUGAGUGUACCCGAAGAGAAAGCAUCGGCUAAUUCCGUGCCAGCAGCGGCGGUAAUACGGGGGAUGCGAGCGUUAUCCGGAUUGAUUGGGUUAAAGGGGUGCGCAGGCGGGAGAUAAAGUCAGCGGUAAAAUGUCGGGGUUCAACCCCGGACGGUCGUUGAAACUGGUUUUCUAGAGUGGGAGAGAAGUAUGCGGAAUUCGUGGUGUAGCGGUGAAAUGCAUAGAUAUCACGAAGAACUCCGAUUGCGAAGGCAGCAUACCGGCUCCAUACUGACGCUGAGGCACGAAAGCGUGGGGAUCGAACAGGAUUAGAUACCCUUGUAGUC
rnacentral:rRNA from 1 species